GCUGGGAUAGCUCAGCCAGUACAGCAUGUGACUCUUAAUCUCAGGGUUGUGGGUUCAAGUCACACGUUGGGCA